AGGAAUGUAGCUUAGUGGCAAAGCAUUCACCUAGCAUGUGCCAAGCCCUGGGUUCAAUUCCUAGUACUGCAA
rnacentral:tRNA from 1 species